GACGUAGGGCGCGAGCGUUGUCCGGAUUUAUUGGGCGUAAAGAGCUCGUAGGCGGCUCAUUGCGUCAACCGUGAAAACCAGCAGCUCAACUGUUGGCUUGCGGUUGAUACGGGUGGGCUGGAGUUCGGUAGGGGAGACUGGAAUUCCUGGUGUAGCGGUGAAAUGCGCAGAUAUCAGGAGGAACACCGGUGGCGAAGGCGGGUCUCUGGGCCGAUACUGACGCUGAGGAGCGAAAGCGUGGGUAGCGAACAGG
rnacentral:rRNA from 1 species